GUUGAACGCUGGCGGCAGGCCUAACACAUGCAAGUCGAACGAGUGGCGGACGGGUGAGUAAUGUCUGGUAAACUUCCCGAUGGCGGGGGAUAACUACUGGAAACGGUAGCUAAUACCGCAUACCAUCGGAUGUGCCCAGAUGGGAUUAGCUGGUGGGUGGGGUAAUGGCUCACCUAGGCGACGAUCCCUAGCUGGGCUGAGAGGAUGACCACCCACAUUGGAACUGAGACACGGUCCAGAGGCCUACGGGAGGCAGCAGUGGGGAAUAUUGGACAAUGGGCGCAAGCCUGAUGCAGCCAUGCCGCGUGUAUGAAGAAGGCCUUCGGGUCGUAAAGUACUUUCAGCGGGGAGGCGUUACCCGCAGAAGAAGCACCGGCUAACUCCGUGCCAGCCGCCGCGGUAAUAC
rnacentral:rRNA from 1 species